rnacentral:rRNA from 1 species
AACGAACGCUGGCGGCAGGCUUAACACAUGCAAGUCGAACGCACCGCAAGGUGAGUGGCAGACGGGUGAGUAACGCGUGGGAACGUGCCCUUCAGUUCGGAAUAACCCAGGGAAACUUGGGCUAAUACCGGAUACGUGCGAGAGCAGAAAGAUUUAUCGCUGAAGGAUCGGCCCGCGUCUGAUUAGCUAGUUGGUGGGUAAUGGCCCACCAAGGCGACGAUCAGUAGCNGGUCUGAGAGGAUGAUCAGCCACAUUGGGACUGAGACACGGCCCAAACUCCUACGGGAGGCAGCAGUGGGGAAUAUUGGACAAUGGGCGCAAGCCUGAUCCAGCCAUGCCGCGUGAGUGAUGAAGGCCUUAGGGUUGUAAAGCUCUUUCGGCGGGGGACGAUAAUGACGGUACCCGCAGAAGAACGCCCCGGCUAACUUCGUGCCAGCCGCCGCUGUAAU